AACGAACGCUGGCGGCAUGCCUAACACAUGCAAGUCGAACGAGACCUUCGGGUCUAGUGGCGCACGGGUGCGUAACGCGUGGGAACCUGCCCUUAGGUUCGGAAUAACUCCCCGAAAGGGGUGCUAAUACCGGAUAAUGUCUUCGGACCAAAGAUUUAUCGCCUUUGGAUGGGCCCGCGUUGGAUUAGCUAGUUGGUAGGGUAAAAGCCUACCAAGGCGACGAUCCAUAGCUGGUCUGAGAGGAUGAUCAGCCACACUGGGACUGAGACACGGCCCAGACUCCUACGGGAGGCAGCAGUGGGGAAUAUUGGACAGUGGGCGAAAUCCUGAUCCAGCAAUGCCGCGUGAGUGAUGAAGGCCUUAGGGUUGUAAAGCUCUUUUACCCGGGAUGAUAAUGACAGUACCGGGAGAAUAAGCUCCGGCUAACUCCGUG
rnacentral:rRNA from 1 species